GGGUCGGUCGUCUAGCCCGGUUUAGGACGUCGCCCUUACACGGCGAAAGUCCCAGGUUCGAAUCCUGGCCGGCCCA
rnacentral:tRNA from 1 species